AUGGGGAUGAAGCCUGGGGGCCCCACGUGGGACCACCUGCCGACCCUGCCUCUCCCCCAGCGCUCAGAACAGUGCUCAGCACCUAGCAAGAGCUUAACAGACACCAACAUUAUUCUUAUUCAUUUCUCUGGGCCUCAGUUCCCUCGUCUGCAAAAUGGGGAUGAAGCCUGGGGGCCCCACGUGGGACCACCUGCCGACCCUGCCUCUCCCCCGGCGCUCAGAACAGCGCUCAGCACCUAUGAAGCGCUUAACAGACGCCGAGAUUAUGAUUAUUCCAUUAUCAACGGGUCCCUGUCGCCCGGUUCCCCUGGUUUCCAAAAUGGCGGCGACAGGUCCUUCCCUCCCCCUCAGGUGGGGCCGGGCGCCGCGCGGCAUUGUGGGGGUUGGAGUCCGCCCCGCGCGGCAUUGUGGGAGUCGAGGUCCGCCACUCCCGCGCGGCAUUGUGGGAGUUGUGGUCCGCCGCCCCCCGCGCGGCAUUGUGGGAGUUGUAGUUCCUCCGCCCCGCCCCGCCGGCCGGGGCUGCCUGUGCGAGCGCAGCGCAUCGCGCAGCGGAGCGGAGGAGCCAGCCCCGGCCGGGGGGAGGAGGGAGGGCACCGCCUCCCCUUCCUCCUCCUCCUCCUCCGAAGGGGGCUGCAGACGCCGGCACCGCCGUCCCGCCCGCCCGGCGAGCCCGGAGCCUCGGCCUUCCCCUCCGCUCCUCUCUCUCACUCGACGCGCAUCGUCCGUCUGUCGCCGGACCCCGCCCGUCCGACCUUCGCGGCCUCGCCGAACCCCGCCCUCCUCCCUCUCCCGUCCGGCCCGGACCGCCCCGCCGGGCUCCUCGCCGACCUCCCGGGCCCGGGCCCCGCCUCGCCCGGAUCGCCCUUCGGAAGCGCCGUCCCGCCCGUUCUCCCGCCCCUCCGGCGGCGCGUCCGUCCGUCCGUCCCGUCGUAAGUAGCGACCGCCUGCCGCGUGCGCGGCGCCGCGCUGAGCGCUUGGGAGGGUGCGACCGUGAACGGACCCAGUCCCUGCCCGCAACGAGCUUAGGGCCUAGAGGACCCACCUCCGCGGCCGACGCGGGGUCCUCAACCCGUCGGCUUUAAAGCACCCGUCCCCUACCGGGCGCCCGUCUCCCCUCUCUCGCCGCCGCCCCGUUUCCCGCGUCCUCCCUCUGACCCGGAAUUCCCCCCCGCUCCGGAGACGCGGGGCCGGCGCUCUCUCCCGGCUUGGAGACCUCGGGAAGCCAGAGGCGGCUGUGCCGCUUUGGCUGGGCUGGGGGGUCUACUUUUCGGAUGUUUUCUCCUGGUAUCCGGGGAGCGCUUACUACGUGUUCCGAGCCGGUGUCGCGCUGUCCCGAGGAGCUCGGUACGGUGCUUCGCGCACGGCGAGCGCUCGAGAAAUAGGACCGAACGAACGAAUCGCUGUCCCGCACGGGGCUCGGAGUCGGAGGGAGAGCAGGGAUUGGAUCCCCGUUUCGGUAACGACGGCACUAACGCGGCCGCCGUCCGUUAAGCGCUCACUACGUGUCGGGCACCGGACUGAGCAUCGGGGCGGAUCCGAGCGAAUCGAAUCGGCUCCCGUCGCCUGUUCCAGGUGGGGCUCUCGGUCUCGAUCCCCACGGGGGAGCUGAGCGUGACGCGACUGGCCCAGGGUCACGCGGCAGACGGGUGGCGGGGCCGGGACUGGAACCCAGCCCGGGGCUCUCCCCACUAGACCGCCCUGCUUCUCCAGGGCCUGGGAGUCGGGAGGUCACGGGUUCGAAUCCCCGCUUCGCCACCUGCCCGCCGGGCGGCCUUGGGCAACUCGCCUCGCUUCUCUGGGCCUCGGUUCCCUCUCCGUCUGACGGAGACGGUGAAGCCCCGCGGGGGACGGGGACCGCGUCCAAUCCCAUUUGCUCUGUAUCCACCCCGGCGCUCGGCGCAGUCCCCGGCGCGUAGGGAGCGCUUAACAAAUCGAGGCUCGGCGGAGGGAGGGAGCCCGGGCUUGGGAGUCGAAUCCCGGCUCCGCCACCUGUCAGCUGGGUGACUCCGGGCGAGUCACUCGACUUCUCGGGGCCUCGGCUCCCUCACCUGCCAAAGGGGGAUGAAGGCCGCGGGCCCCAGACGGGACAACCUGAUCACCCUUUAUCUGUCCCAGCGCUUAGAACGGCGCUCGGCACACAGUAAGCGCUUAACCGACACCGACGUCAUCAUCGCUGUCGGAUACCAUCAUCACGAUGAUUAUUUCUUUACUCUAACGUCCGUCUCCCCGAUCAGACCGGGCGCUCCUUGUGGCCGACUCUGUCGGAGCGGACUCUCGCAGGCGCCGCGGUCAGGGCCCCGCACACGGGAAGCGCUCGGUAAGUACCUCGGGUCGACCCGCGGCGAGUCGAUCGUCCUCGGUCUAGCGGAAACGCGACACCCCAGACGGAUACCGUCGUCAGACGCGGUCCCGGGACGAGAGGAGCGGCGGGUGGAGCCGGGCCUGGGAGUCGGGAGGUCCCGGGUGACCCCGGGAGAGUCGCUUCCCUUCUCUGGGCCUCAGCGAUCCCUCGUCCGGAAGACGGGGAUGGAGGCCGCGAGCCCCACCCGGGCCGGGGACCGCGCCCGACCCCAUCCGCCCGUAUCGACCCCGGCGGGUCCGUACGGUGCCCGGCGCGCAGUAAGCGCUCAACGGAUACCGUGACUGUGGAGGCUGGGGGGCCCCACGUGGGAGGGGGACCGGGUCCCGCCCCAUCGCGGUGGGCUCGGAACGACGCUCGACACGCAGUAAGCUCUCGACAGACGGCACCGAGCAUCCCGGUCGUUUACGCCGCGGGGAGGGGGGGAGGGCGGGGGGUUGAAGAUCUGGACCGAAGCGCUCCCGGGGGUCGGGGGGCGAGGACCCCCGCCCGGGACACGGGUCAGGCAGCCGGAGCAGGGAGGGAAGAGGAGAGACGGAGGUGGCCGGCCGGCCCCGAGGCCCGCUCUCCCGCCCCCGCCCCGGAGGCGGC
rnacentral:lncRNA from 1 species